rnacentral:lncRNA from 1 species
CCGAGAUCGCACCGCUGCACUCCAGCCAGGUCAAAAGAGUGAAACUCCAUCUCAAAACAAAAAUAAAAAAGCUCCUGUAGACCCUAGAAUACCACAGAAAAGAAAAGUUCUAGGAAAAAGCCCAGCCCCAGAAAAACAAAAACCAAAACAUUUAGAUCCAGAAAUGCCUGAGUGAAGAUGAACUUUGGUGAACUCCCCUUACAAUCCUGCUAAAAUCCCCACCCAGGGAAGAGCUUAUUCACCAUUUUCUAUACAUGCAACAUGUGUAGAAGCAUGAUCGGCAAUUGUGUCUUCGCUGCCUUUACUCCACCUGUACAUACAAUGACUGAGCUAACCAGCCCAAUAAAAGCACUGUUUUCACUGUUGCUCGGAGAAGCACUGCUUUAGGAACUAUCCCCAGUGUCGUCCUUACUUGUUGCAAGUAAUGAAAUCCCCUUGUUAAAUC